UACGGGGGGGGCAAGCGUUGUUCGGAAUUACUGGGCGUAAAGGGCUCGUAGGUGGCCAACUAAGUCGGACGUGAAAUCCCUCGGCUUAACCGGGGAACUGCAUCCGAUACGGGCAGGCUAGAGUUCGGUAGGGGAGACUGGAAUUCCUGGUGUAGCGGUGAAAUGCGCAGAUAUCGAGAGGAACACCUGCGGCGAAGGCGGGUAGCUGGGCCGACACUGACGCUGAUGCGCGAAAGCCAGGGGAGCGAACGGG
rnacentral:rRNA from 1 species